rnacentral:tRNA from 1 species
UGGCGUAGUGGUCACUGCGCUCGCCUUGCAUGCGGGAGACCCGGGUUCGAUUCCCGG